rnacentral:rRNA from 1 species
UGGGGGAUAUUGCACAAUGGGCGAAAGCCUGCUGCAGCGACGCCGCGUGGGGGAUGAAGGCCUUCGGGUUGUAAACUUCUUUUGCUCUGAACAAGGCAUGCUAAUGGGUGUGUUGAGUGUAGGGGUUGAUUAGCGCCGGCUAACUACGUGCCAGCAGCCGCGGUAUUACGUAGGGCGCGAGCGUUGUCCGGAAUUAUUGGGCGUAAAUGGCUUGAAGGUGGCUGGUUGCGUCUGUCGUGAAAGCUCUGGGCUUAACGAGCGGGUUGCGGUUGGUACGGGCUAGCUUGAGUGCAGGAGGGGAGGCUGGAAUUCCUCGUGUAGCGGUGGAAUGCGCAGAUAUCAGGAGGAAUACCGGCGGCGAAGGCGGGGCUCUGGGCUGUUACUUACACUGAUGAGCGAAAGCAUAGGGAGCGAACAGG